rnacentral:rRNA from 1 species
UUUUCCCAAAGGGGGUGACCAUGGGGGUUUAUUUUGUGGCAACGUUAGGAGCUUUACGAACCUUUGAAUCCACAGAACCUAGCAGAGAUCUCGGUGUGCCUUCGGGAAGAGUGAGACAGGUGUUGCAUGCCGGUGGUCAGCUCGUGUCGUGAGAUGUUGGGUUAAGUCCCGUAACGAGCGCAACCCUUGUCCUUAGUUCCCAUCGGGUUAUGCUGGGCACUCUAAGGAGACUGCCGGUGAUAAACCGGAGGAAGGUGGGGAUGACGUCAAGUCAUCAUGGCCCUUACAGCUAGGGCUACACACGUGCUACAAUGGUCGGUACAGAGGGAAGCCAACCCGCGAGGGGGAGCGAAUUUCAGAAACCCGAUCGUAGUCCGGAUGUGGAGUCCGCAACUCGACUCCGGAAGUCGGAAUCGUUAGAUCGGUAAGUCU